rnacentral:rRNA from 1 species
ACUACGGGAGGCAGCAGUGAGGAAUAUUGGUCAAUGGGCGCGAGCCUGAACCAGCCAAGUAGCGUGAAGGAUGACUGCCCUACGGGUUGUAAACUUCUUUUAUAAAGGAGUAAAGUGAGGCACGUGUGCCUUUUGUAUGUACUUUAUGAAUAAGGAUCGGCUAACUCCGUGCCAGCAGCCGCGGUAAUACGGAGGAUCCGAGCGUUCUCCGGAUUUAUUGGGUUUAAAGGGAGCGUAGAUGGGUUGUUAAGUCAGUUGUGAAAGUUUGGGGCUUAACCGUAAAAUUGCAAUUGCGACGGGCAGUCUUGAGUACAGUUGAGGGAGGCGGAAUGCGUGGUGUAGCGGUGAAAGGCUUAGAUAUCACGAAGAACUCCGAUUGCGAAGGCAGCUUACUAAACUGCCACUGACAUUGAUGCUCGAAAGUGUGGGUAUCAAACAGGAUUAGAUACCCGAGUAGUC